UGAGUAACGCGUGGGUAACCUGCCCUUAAGUCUGGGAUACCAUUUGGAAACAGAUGCUAAUACCGGAUAAAAGCUACUUUCGCAUGAAAGAAGUUUAAAAGGCGGCGUAAGCUGUCGCUAAAGGAUGGACCUGCGAUGCAUUAGCUAGUUGGUAAGGUAACGGCUUACCAAGGCGAUGAUGCAUAGCCGAGUUGAGAGACUGAUCGGCCACAUUGGGACUGAGACACGGCCCAAACUCCUACGGGAGGCAGCACG
rnacentral:rRNA from 1 species